rnacentral:lncRNA from 1 species
CAACAGUCUUUAGAAAGUUGUUUGAGGCGUCUAUGAUGAACAGAGACCGAAUGAGAAGGCAGGGAAGUUGGUGACCCCGGGAAGGAUAUCAGUUCAUUGGUGCGCGUUCAUGAGGGAGUAUCCUCUGUUCCAAAAUGUUUUUCAAGACACAGGAACCGUCCGGUUGAAAUAUUACUGAAUCUUCAUGUUCUAAAGGCCCUAAAGAUUGAUGCUAUACAACGUUUUACGUUUGAACAAACGUAAAUAGAUUUUCUUUUACUUUUCAUCGUGACAUUGUCCGCGCGCUUCCUACAUUUGGAGUAGCUGAACUGAAUGCGCGAACAACAAGGAGUUAUUUGGACAUAAAUUAUUGUAAUGAAACGGCAGGGAGCAGGUUUCGAACCCUCGACCUUCAAGCCCGAAGUCCGGCGCGCUAUCGACUGUGCCGCAAAAGCAUGCUCAAGCGGCAGAGUCGAUUUCCGCGCUUAUAAACCCAGGGUAGUCACACUACUCCCUCCUUUCAAAGAGCGCAUCCUCGCGCUAGCUUGCGACUCUACGUCUUACAGGAACGCGCUCACCGGCCAAGCACAUGCACUGUCGUGGAUACAAGGUCCGAUCACUUCUGACACCAAUGUAAUGAAACGGCAGGGAGCAGGUUUCGAACCCUCGACCUUCAAGCCCGAAGUCCGGCGCACUAUCGACUGUGCCGCAAAAGCAUGCUCAAGCGGCAGAGUCGAUUUCCGCGCUUAUAAAGCCAGGGUCGUUACAUUAUGAACUUUAUCGAACAAAACAACAUUUGCUGUGGACCUGGGAUUCCUGGAUGUGCCUUCUGAUGAAGAUUAUUAAAGAGGACCUGAGCCCUAGGACCAUGCCUCAAGACUACCUGGCCUGACGACUCCAGGCCCCGUCCCUAGUCUACCUGGUCGUGCUGCUGAUCCAGUUUCUGCUGCUUUGCCCUUUUGCUAUUGAACCAACCCUAAACUGUUCACCAGACGUGCUACCUUGUCCCGGACCUGCUGUUUUCGACCCUCUCUCUCCCUCUCCCUCCCUCUCUCUCCCUCUCUAACGCACCUGCUGUCUCAAUCUCUGAAUGCUCGGCUAUGAAAAACCAACCGACAUUUACUCCUGAGGUACUGACCUGUUACACCCUCUACAACCACUGUGAUUAUUAUUUGACCCUGACGGUCAUCUAUGAACGUUUGAACAUCUUGAAGAACGAUCUGGCUUUAAUGGCCAUGUACUCUUAUAAUGUCCACCCGGCACAGCCAGAAGAGGACUGGCCAACCCUCAGAGCCUGGUUCCUCUUUUCUUCCUUAGUUCCUGCCUUUCUAGGUAGUUUUUCCUAGCCCCUGUGCUUUUACAUCUGCUUUACUUGUUCUUUUGGGGGUUUUAGGCUGGGUUUCUGUAUAAGCACUUUGUGACGUCUGCUGAUAUUAAAACGGCUUUAUAAAUAUAUUUGAUUGAAACCUCACCGAUUUAUUGAGGGAUGUCUUGACACUCUUAGAGGAGUUUUCACCUCCCUCACCAUUUAUCUCCUGUACUUCCUGGCUAUGAGCACAGGACAGUAGCCUUGUCCCCAGCACUUGGACAGGAGGGAACAGGAGUGUUGCUGCAAUGGAUAGUAGCCUUUUAAAGGGCUCCUGACCAAUUCUGCUAUUUUGUGUGUUUUUUUUGUGCUGAUUGUAACUUUUUUGAAAAUAAGGUUUCUGCCAUCGUUUCCUAUGACCGAAAAUAACUUCUGGAUAUCAGAACAGCGAUCACUAACCUUGAUUUGGAUGAAGUGGAGUCGCAGGCUUAGGACAUACUGCUCACCCUGGACCAGGCCCUAAUCACAAGACUUGGAAAAGAAAAAGGUGGCGUAAGAGAGGCCAACGUGCGGGCACCCUGACGAAAAUAAAUUGGUGAGUGCAUAAACCGCCUCUACCCUCCAUUCUCUUGGCGAACGUGUCACUGGAGAACAAACUGGAUGAGCGCCGUUCAAGACUAUCCUAUCCUAACGGAACCUGAAGAACUGUAAUAUCCUAUGUUUCUCUGAGUUGUGGCUGAACAAGGACAUGGAUAAUAUGCAUCAAGCUGUUUUUUUAUGCAUAGGCCAGACAGAACGGAAGCAUCGGGUAAACUCAAGGGGGAGGUGUGUGUCUCUUUGUUAAAAACACCUGGUACUUAAUCUCUAAUAUUAAGGAAGUCUUGAGGUUCUGCUCACCUGAGUUACAAUACGUCAUGAUAAGUUGUAGACAAUAUUAUUUACCAAGAGAGUUUUCAUCUAUAUUUUUUGUAGCUGUCUAUUUACCACCACAAACCGAUGCUGGCAUUAAUACCGCACUCAGCGAGCUGUAUAGGGCAAUAAGAAAACAUGGGGCGGUCCAUAAGCAAACAUUCUGAGGCGGCGCUCCUAGUGGCCAGUGAUUUUAAUGCAGUGAAACUGUAAUCGUUUUACCUCAUUUCUACCAGCAUGUCACCUGUGGCAAAGAAACUCUAGACCACCUUUACUCCACACACAGAAACGCAUACAAAGCUCUCCCUCGCCCUCCAUUUGGCAAAUCUGGCCAUAACUCUAUCCUCCUUAUUCCUGUUUACAAGCAAAAACUCAGUCUGGAAGUACCAGUGAUGCACUCAAUAUGGAAGUGGUCCGAUGAAGUGGAUACUAAGUUACAGGACUGUUCAGGGAUUCAUUGAGGAGUUUAUCACAUCAGUCACCGGCUUCAUUAAUAAAUGCAUCGACGACGUCAUCCCCACAGUGACCUUAUGUAUAUAUCCCAACCAGAGGCCAUGGAUUACAGGCAACAUCCAUGCUGAGCUAAAGGCUAGAGCUGCCGCAUUCAAGGAGCAGGACACUAAUCCGGACACUGAUAAGAAAUCCGGCUACACCCUCCGACGAACCAUCAAACAGGCAAAGUGUCAAUACAGGACUAAGAUCGAAUCCUACUACACCGGCUUUGAUGCUCAUUGGAUGUGGCAGGGCUUGCAAACUAUCAUGGAUUACAAAAGGAAACCCAGUCGCGACCUGCCCAGUGAAGGAAGCCUACCAGACAAGCAAAAUGUCUACUAUGCUCGCUAAGAGGCAAGCCACACUGAACCAUGCAUGAGAGCACCAGCUGUUCCGGAUGACUUUGUGAUCACGCUCUCCUUAGCCGAUGUGAGUAAGACCUUUAAACAGGUCAACAUUCACCAGGCCACAGGGUAAAACGGAAUACCAGGAAGCGUACUCAGAGCAUGCGCUGACCAGCUGGCAAGUGUCUUCACUGGCAUUUUCAACCUCUCCCUGACACAGUCCGUAAUACCUACGUUUCAAGCAGACCACCACAGUUCCUGUGUCCAAGAACACCAAGGUAACCUCCCUAAAUUACUAUCACCUAGUAGAACUCACAUCCCUAGCCAUGCUUUGAAAGACUGGUCAUGGCUCACAUCAACACCAUCAUCCCAGACACCCUGCCCCAACAGAUCCACAGAUGACUGUAUGGCCAUGCACAACUCCAACACUGUCAUUAAGUUUGCCAAUGACAUGACGGUGGUAGACCUGAUCACUGACGAUGAUGAGACAGCCUAUAGGG